rnacentral:rRNA from 1 species
AUUUGAUAAUACCUUACUACUUGGAUAACCGUGGUAAUUCUAGAGCUAAUACAUGCUAAAAACCCCAACUUCGGGAGGGGUGUAUUUAUUAGAUAAAAAACCAAUGCCCUUCGGGGCUCCUUGGUGAUUCAUAAUAACUUCUCAGAUCGCACGUGCCUUGCGCCGGCGACGGUUCAUUCAAAUUUCUGCCCUAUCAACUUUCGAUGGUAAGGUAUUGGCUUACCAUGGUUUCAACGGGUAACGGGGAAUUAGGGUUCGAUUCCGGAGAGGGAGCCUGAGAAACGGCUACCACAUCCAAGGAAGGCAGCAGGCGCGCAAAUUACCCAAUUCCGACUUGGAGAGGUAGUGACAAUAAAUACUGAUACAGGGCUCUUUUGGGUCUUGUAAUUGGAAUGAGUACAAUUUAAACCUCUUAACGAGGAACAAUUGGAGGGCAAGUCUGGUGCCAGCAGCCGCGGUAAUUCCAGCUCCAAUAGCGUAUAUUAAAGUUGUUGCAGUUAAAAAGCUCGUAGUUGAACCUUUGGCCUGGCUGGCAGGUCCGCCUCACCGCGUGCACUUGUCCGGCCGGGCCUUUUCUUCUGGAGAACCGCAUGCCCUUCACUGGGUGUGUUGGGGACCAGGACUUUUACUUUGAAAAAAUUAGAGUGUUCAAAGCAGGCCUUUGCUCGAAUACGUUAGCAUGGAAUAAUAGAAUAGGACGUGCGGUCCUAUUUUGUUGGUUUCUAGGACCGCCGUAAUGAUUAAUAGGGACAGUCGGGGGCAUCAGUAUUCAAUUGUCAGAGGUGAAAUUCUUGGAUUUAUUGAAGACUAACUACUGCGAAAGCAUUUGCCAAGGAUGUUUUCAUUAAUCAGUGAACGAAAGUUAGGGGAUCGAAGACGAUCAGAUACCGUCGUAGUCUUAACCAUAAACUAUGCCGACUAGGGAUCGGGCGGUGUUUCUAUUGUGACCCGCUCGGC